rnacentral:rRNA from 1 species
GGCGACAGCCUGAACCAGCCAUGCCGCGUGUGUGAAGAAGGUCUUUCGGAUUGUAAAGCACUUUAAGUUUGGGAGGAAGGGCAUUAACCUAAUACGUUGGUGUUUUGACGUUACCGACAGAAUAAGCACCGGCUAACUCUGUGCCAGCGCCGCGGUAAAGA